rnacentral:rRNA from 1 species
CCUACGGGGGGCUGCAGUGGGGAAUAUUGGGCAAUGGGCGAAAGCCUGACCCAGCAACGCCGCGUGAAGGAAGAAGGCUUUCGGGUUGUAAACCUCUUUUGACAGGGAAGAGCAGAAGACGGUACCUGUCGAAUAAGCCACGGCGAACUACGUGCCAGCAGCCGCGGUAAUACGUAGGUGGCAAGCGAUGUCCGGAUUGACUGGGUGUAAAGGGCGGGUAGCGGGGCUGACAAGUCAGAUGUGAAAUCCGGGGGCUCAACCCCCGAACUGCAUGUGAAACUGUUGGUCUUGAGUAUCGGAGAGGCAUGCGGAAUUCCUGGUGUAGCGGUGAAAUGCGUAGAUAUUAGGAGGAACCCCAGUGGCGAAGGCGGCCUGCUGGACGGCAACUGACGGUGAGGCGCGAAAGCGUGGGGAGCAAACAGGAUUAGAUACCCGGGUAGUC